GGUGAUCAACAAAAGAGCCAUUGAAUAGAGAGGGAGAGGUGGGCGUGGAAGCCUGACCCGGAGAACGAGUGAGCAGAAGGUGAAGAGGGAAGACCCUGAGCAGAAGGUGAAGAGGGAAGACCUGUGCAGAGUACAGCUCUUCCGGUAUGUACCCAGAAGUGGAUUUGCUGGAUCAUUUGAUUGUUGACUGGAAGCCAGAGAUGGCUGUCUUCCUGUGGUGCCCCAUGGUGACGCCCACAGGAACUUUCUCCCUUCGGUAUUCAACCUGCUAAAAGGUGUGAAAGGAUAUGCAUCAUCUCUCAGCCCUGACACCUAGGAUGUGACUGAAGAAUUUUAUGCACAGAAACCCAUGGAUCCUGGAAGGUCAGUUGUCUACUGUUAGAUGCAUUUGUCUCGGUAACAUCAACUUGUCUGGUUUUCUCUGCACAAAAAUGCUGAAAUGAAUGAUCACAGUCUGCAUAUGUAUGGUGUGCAUACUUGUAUCAUUGUCUGUAUGUAUACAUCUUUCUGGAAGGCAGGGCCUGGAUCUAAGCCAUGAUAUAUUUAAAACGCAGCAUUUUGGGGCACCUGGGUGGCACAGCGGUUAAUCGUCUGCCUUCGACUCAGGGCGUGAUCCCGGCGUUCUGGGAUUGAGCCCC